UACAGAGGUCUCAAGCGUUGUUCGGAUUCAUUGGGCGUAAAGGGUGUGUAGGUGGCGCCGUUAGUCGGGUGUGAAAUUUCGGAGCUUAACUCCGAAACUGCAUUCGAUACUGCGGUGCUUGAGGACUGGAGAGGAGACUGGAAUUCAUGGUGUAGCAGUGAAAUGCGUAGAGAUCAUGAGGAAGACCAGUGGCGAAGGCGGGUCUCUGGACAGUUCCUGACACUGAGACACGAAAGCUAGGGGAGCAAACAGG
rnacentral:rRNA from 1 species